GGAGGCGAAGACGCGGAGAGAGAGGAGGAAGAGGAGGGGGAGGAGGAGGACACGGAGGAGAGAGAGGAGGCAUAAAACAAAAGAGGAGAAAAAAGAAAAGCGUCCUCAGAACGUCACUCUCAUCCUCAGAACUUCCUGUACGUCAGCAAACUGGCGCCCAGGUGGAGUAUUGAUGCUGUGGGAUCCACUGCCCUGGGAUUACAGAUUAAUGCCCUUGAAAAGAUCGCCCACCCAGGGCUUUUUUUACCCACACAUUUAAUGAGGACGUGAUAAGGCUUUUGAGGAUAGAAUUACAGCAGCACUCAGCACAAAAACAGCACUAAAACCUUUAAAUAACACGUCUCCUUAAUUAGCUUACACAAGGGCAUUUAAAGAGACCUGGGUCAAUUAUGUAUGAGAAACUUUUUGGCAAUGCUAUUUAUGCCCGAAAAGAAUUGGCAAAACUCCAGCAGAUGCCUGAGAAAAUUUUUGAUUCGUCAUGUUACUAACCAAACCCUAUGAAUCAUGGUUCAGAAUAUUCAUGAAGACAGAAGAGAGAACUGAGAAACAUCUGCCAUCUGUCGGAAUUUUACUGACCCAGAUCUGGUGCCCACCCAGUCGCCAGAAUAAAAAAACCCUCUCUCAAUGACCUCAGUUUCACUCAGAUUAGAGAGAGGGGUCAAAGUUCAGGGCUGGCCAAUUAAAUGCCUGCUUCAGGACAGCACCGCCCACUUUGUAUGGAGUCCAGCUGCAGCUGCUGGGCAGGGGACUGCAGGGUGAUGGUCACAGAGGUGCAAAAUUGGGCGUGGCCAACCAAAUCUAGCAGAUGGGCCCACAUUUGUGGGCUGAUUCUCUUCAGUGUGCUGCAGCAUAGAUGGCCAGGUGGCCACAUAAUUAGAUGAAAUAACUACAGUACUUACACAACAAAACUUACAUAACAAAUUAAGGCAAAACAAAACAUACUAAGACACUUUACAAGUUGUCUAAUAAAGAAGCUGGACCCUGGCUGUCUGCUUUUGUGUCUGACAGCAGGUGAAAACCUCUUCAUAAUGAGAGCCACCAAGCUCCCUACAUUCACCCGGCCAGUUUUCAGAGGUGUCCGUUAGACUGCUGUUCCGCAGUCCUGGGCCUGGGCAGAGGGUGUGCCAGAAGUCUUUGGGCAGAGGGUGUGCCAAAAGUCUUUGGGCAGAGGGUGUGCCAGAAGUCUUUGGGCAGAGGGUGUGCCAGUUUCAGGCCAAGAAGCCCAGAAGCCAGGUGCCCAGGGGAGAGCCUCAGAAGAACGUCCUGCAGGGAAAAAGAGGAACAAACAGUGGGGUUAUUCAAGGUCGCUUCCAAUGUCUCUCUCUCUCUCUACUUCACGAGCAGUGAGACAAAGGCACACCACGCUUCUGAAAGUACAGGGCAUUUUUAUUCUCUCUCUGUGAACAAAGAGAAUUAUUCUGUGAUUUUGUGAGCAUUUCUGAAUGUAGAAUGGAAUUUUUGUGCACACAAACAUACCAUACUGCCAAACAAUACCUGGAAUCAUUGACACGUAGAGCAUAUGAUUUUGAAACAUACAACAUCUUACUUGUCAUUCUACCUUGGGUUUGCUAUAUUCAGCUCAGUUCAAUUAUGCUUACGUUUCCAGAUUAUUCUUAUUAUAUCUUUAUGUAGUCAAUUCAGCCAGGAUAUCUGAGUGGCAAAAGUAUCGUAGUGCUAUAGAACAAGAAAAUAACACAGAACCAAGAGUUAAAGACUUAAAGGGCACCUUUAAGAUUAGAAAACCCGGGGAAUAUGUUUGGCUGGCCAGGCCAUACCAAGCAUUUUAUAUAUACGCAAGUCUUGUAACGGCCACUGAGUUAAUGUUUUGCAUGUAAAAAAGUUUCUAUUCAUUUCAAAACAACAACAAUAAUUAUCAUCAUAAUUAUAAUAAUAAAUAAAUAAAACUGAUGAUUUAACAUGGUUUUAGGUAAGAGACUGAGGAGCCCUUUAAGAUGAGAAGCCUGGGCAGCGACACACGAUGAGACUGAAUCUCAUCAGUGACUGAAAUCCACCUGUAUGAGUCACAGCAUGUAACAGUGCCUCAUCAGAGACCAAUCAGAGCCACCGUUCGAAGGUGGAAACAGCUCUGCUGCAGCCAAUCAGCUUCAACAAGAAAAUCUGUCGAGGGAACCCAUGGCGGAAAAAAACUUCCAUGAUGGCCUCCGCAAAGACGUCAUCACUGUAACACUCGAUCAUGUAGAGCUGAAACCAACAACCGCAGAAUUUGCGCUACGAUCCAUACUGUGGUUUUCUGAUAUUUAAAAAACUACACUGGGUUUUUAAUGCCUUUUUGGUGUACGUGUCUCAAUCCAUUCUGCCCUAGAUCUUUCAAAAUUAAUGUCUAAGCAAACCAUGCUGUAAUUCAUGUCUAGGCAAUAUCUGUAAAGUACUGUAAGGAUGACCUAAUGUAAGAUUGAAACAACAAAGGAAAGCUAUAAAUAUAUACAAAUACUUCAAACCAUUAUGAGCUUUAUUAAGAUGCCCCAUCCCUCUGCAGACUACACUUAAUUUAAUAAUGUUCAGACAAAAGAUCCAUUUGCAAAACUGAAAUCCAUGUCUGUCAAUUUAGCAGUCAACAGAAUAAAUCUAGAAAUGGAAACUUUUCAGUGCCAAAUGAAACCUAGAUUAAUUCAAUUUAUAUUCCUUUACUUUUGCUUUCGAGAAACAAAAAAAUGGGGGGGACACACCAAGUCUGACUUUGGAGACUUUGCGUAACUGAUUUUAAAAAGUAACGUUCAUUUUAAAUUUUAGACAAACUGCAAUGCAAACAAGGCAAACCACAGUACGGCAAGUCUUCAAGGACAAUUCAAGGACAAACAGCUACGCGAACAGACAGAAUUCAGACCAUUCGCGUGUUAAUAACUCCAGGAUUCCGGCAGCUGUGGUUGUUCCUGGUGGGCGGAGUCUGUCACAUGCGUGUGCAUACUGGGACAUGCUUCCUCUGCAGCGUCUCAUGCCAGGGGUCAAGGGUUCAGGGGUCAGGGGUCAGUUACCCUCAGGCAGCUACAGCUGGAGCAGGUAGCCUUGUCUGUAUACAGAGGCACUGCCUUCAAAGACCCGUCUGUUUGCAGGGGGGCUGACUGAGGGAGACUUGGGGCUAAACAGACGACAGGUUCACCACAUUACUGCUCGUUCACUCAUCGUCAAACUGGGGG